AUAAGACGCCACGUGGCGUGUAUGUUUACGUCCGCUGUAUACAGCGUAGACAUACACGCGGAUAGCUCAGAAUGCGUCCAGAUAACACGCCACUUGGCUUUAGGAAAGUUGGCGUGUAUGUUUAAGUCAUGAUGCCACGUUGGGGCUGGACUGGGACAAAAAAACGGCCCUGGCAUUUUUGGCCCAGGCGGCCCAAACCCACCGUGAUUGGUCAGAGACGUUCCCUGCAGACAGUCCUCUUAACAUAUGUGUGCAUGCUAUGAUAUGAGUUGCCUAGUGUUCUGCAUUCAUGUGAUCGUUUUGGCUCCUUCAAGAGGCGUCUCAAGACUUAUCUGUUGCUCUUACACUUAAAUAAUUAAUUAGUUCUUACAGUUAUGAUUUGUAUAUU